UACAGCCCUCGACCCGCCUCCUGCGCCCCCGCGUGCCUCCUGGGUCGCAGCUGUCCUCCAGCCCAGCCGGCGCUCGGCGAAGCAGGGAUUACCUCUGGCGGCCGCAACUGCUUUCUGGAGCCGCCACUGGCUGGAUGAGAGCGGACUUCUGCCGGACGCUAGACAAACGGUAGCCCCACCCCGGCCAGUGCCUGCGGCAGACCCGCCGUAGGGCUGAGCCAGCUCCCCACCCCCUCACCUUAGGGCGCAGGCCUGCAGAGCUAGCACUCCGCCCUAGCGGUCUUUGCGCAUUCCCUGCAUGGCCUUAGAUAAAUCCCUGCCUUGAUUUCCCCAACCAUGCAGAAGAAAAAGAGGGACAAUGGCCUCAGCCAAUCUUUGUGUAGCAUUCUGGCCUUCUCUCUCAAGUUCCUGCUCUACAUACCUGGGAUCAGCGCCCUUGUGGGGGUCACCUGACCCGGGAGAGGGCAACAGAGGCCCCGAACACCAGAGCAGGCCCCCUGGACGCACUACAAGUGUUUGGAGCGCCAAAGAUGCAAAAGGAUUGAGGCGGUCCCAAGGCUCAGGGCUCUUCACAGAUACUGUAGCUGCCUGCAGCCAAGGGAUAACUGGGUUCACCUGAAAGGGCGGCUGAGAAUGAAAGGAGGAUGGAGGGCGAAAAGAGAUGAAGCCAAGACAAGGGUCACACCUCCUAAUCCUUCCCAAACAGUUCCACCAACUGGGGAUCAACUAAUCGAACAUGUAAGCCUAUGGAAGCCAUUCUCAUUCAAACGCCCAUGAGAAAGCAAGGGGAAAUCCUAGGGAAUUCACACUACAUAUUUAGUGUUGCAUGGUGAGGUAAGUACUUGGGAUGAAAUGGGUGAGAGGGAGGGAUUGCCAAGGGCCUUGAGAAAACUUUU